rnacentral:rRNA from 1 species
UACGUAGGGGGCAAGCGUUGUCCGGAUUUACUGGGCGUAAAGAGCGCGUAGGCGGAAGCUUAAGUGUGGCCUGAAAGCCCCCGGCUCAACCGGGGAAGGUGGCUGCAAACUGGGUUUCCUGAGGGCGAUAGGGGAGAGCGGAAUUCCUGGUGUAGCGGUGAAAUGCGUAGAGAUCAGGAGGAACACCGAUGGCGAAGGCAGCUCUCUGGGUCGGCCCUGACGCUGAGGCGCGAAAGCGUGGGGAGCGAACAGG